rnacentral:misc_RNA from 1 species
UUGAGAAAAAGUGCGAGCAGUAACGUCGCCAUAUUUAGUCGGAGAAGUCGCCAUCGUCGUUUGUUUCUUCUUUUUGGCCUACACUAUCUUUAGUAAGCAAUGGCACGCAACGACAGCAGAGUAUAUGUUGGUAAUUUGCCUCCAGAUAUUAGAACCAGGGAUAUCGAAGAUCUCUUUUACAGAUUCGGAAAGAUUGUAUUUGUCGAUUUGAAGAAUCGAAAAGGACCACCAUUUGCAUUCGUUGAGUUCGAGGAUCCCAGGGAUGCGGAAGAUGCAGUUCGUCAGAGAGAUGGUUACAACUAUGAUGGCUACACAUUACGGGUAGAGUUUCCUCGUGGUAGUGGAAUGAGCCGUUUUCGAGGAGGCCGAGGUGGUCGAGGAGGUCCACCAUCCAGGAGGUCUGAAAAUAGAGUUCUUGUUUCAGGCCUACCUCCUACUGGCAGUUGGCAAGAUUUAAAGGACCACAUGAGAGAGGCUGGCGAUGUCUGCUAUGCUGAUGUCUUUAAGGAUGGUACAGGAGUGGUGGAAUUUCUAAGGCGAGAAGACAUGAAGUAUGCAGUACGAAAGCUUGACGACACGAAAUUCCGUUCACAUGAGGGUGAUGUAUCCUACAUCAGAGUGAAAGAGGACUCCAGAGGAAGGUCUCGAUCCAGAAGCCGCAGUGCGUCACAGAAACGCUCUAGGGGUAGCCCAAGAUACUCCCCAAUGCGAUCUCGUUCUCAGUCAUUUUCGCGGUCACGUUCACCAUACUAAGUCAAAUGGUCAUCUGACAUGUCAGUCACCACUACACUCCUGUUUACCCUGACCCCUUCAAAUUUUAUGCUACAUAAAGACUUUCUGCAAUGACCAGAAAUCGUUGUUCUGACAUAGAGACAAUACCUGUAACUUCAGAAUCAGCCUUUUUUGUUAAAAUACUUAGGAAUAAUGCGGAUUGUAGGUGGAUUGUAGACUAUUUUUAAUAUUACUUUGUCAAAUCUAAGCUCACAUCUGAUUUUCCAGAUGCGUUCGAGUAGGAACGUGCUGAUGGAUUUAAAGAUAAGGAUUUGAUGAGGAGGAAGGAACUCGAUGGGAGGAUAUUGUCUUCUCAGGAUUUUGGACUGAGUAAAGCGUCCAUCUGGGACCAGAGGAAGGAAUGGCUGGCUGAUCACAGUUGGCCAAAUGUUACAACAAAGCAAAGCUUUUGGAUAAUUGGGAGGUCUGGAAAAGCAUUGCAAUACUGUAGGAACUCGUGCGUCCUUUGUCAUGGAUUUCUCUCCUGAAAUGGAAAAUUGGAGAAUCCUGUCUUUAAAAGGGGAUAUCACUAUGCAUGGCUGGGCAAGGAAUCAUCUUCUUCAGGAGGGGAUCACUUGGACCAUUCCACCAGGGAUUAAAAUAUUUUCCUUUUAAGUAUGGAUCCAUUGCACAUUUAUGGAAAAAAAUUGGAUGAACCUUAUUUUGGCUACAUUUCCCAAAUCAAUUCACAAUUUGAAUCAUGAAGAUUAUUCCUAGUAUUUUAAUGAAGGAAAUUCCGGGACUAUGCAAAGCAGUUUCGUGGAUCUAAUGGAAUUCAUUCUUGAAACAGGAUUUCUGGAAACCUAUAAACUGGCCCCCUCCCCUCCGAAAAAAAGUUAAUGGAAUUAGACACUUUCAAGCCAGUGUGCCUUCGAUUGGAAGUGAAGGAGUGGUUGGUGAUUUUGGACCUUGGUGCGUUGAACAUUGCAGACUGGAGCAUGAACAAGCAUUUGGAUAUGGUUGGCAAGUUUUGAAAUCUAGAGGUUAGCUAAAUAGUUCAGAUUCUCAAACAUGCAUUCCCUUCCAUUCUUUUUGUAGGUUUUCUGUUCUUCAGAAGUCCAACAGUUCUUGUUCAUGCUUUUCUGUUCACUUUAUAUAUAUAUAUUUUUUUUUUUUUUACGUUUUCAAUAAUUCCCUGAAAACAUUUAUUAAAAAUAAUUCAGGAUCACUAAUUUCCUUAACAUAACUAGGGUGAAGCUCAGAUUUCAAGAAGGAUUGUAAUGGAGCCUCUCUAGCUUUUCCUUACUGUGCAAUGGAUCAUGGAAAUCAAAAACGGGAUCUUCUUUCCUACUUUGGAUUCUUGGGGUGUCAUGGAUUGGAAUACAAAAUUCUGCAAACAAGGGAGCAGAUUUUAGUCCUGGAUUGCAUGGGAUUGGAUCAGAGAGGGAAUGUCUGCUUACAUAGGAAAAGAGGAGGAAAUUCUUGCCUGGAUUUUCAUGGGACAAGAAUAGGAGACACAUGGGAAAUGUGGAUUUCUGGUAAGUGUCUUGGUAUUCUUGUUCCAUUUAGAUUGACAUUUAUUUGUCCUUCAUUUCAGGAAAUAAAAAUGAUUUUAAUUUUUA